CGGAGGAUCCAAGCGUUAUCCGGAAUCAUUGGGUUUAAAGGGUCUGUAGGCGGUCUUGUAAGUCAGUGGUGAAAGCCCAUCGCUCAACGGUGGAACGGCCAUUGAUACUGCUGGACUUGAAUUAUUGGGAAGCAACUAGAAUAUGUAGUGUAGCGGUGAAAUGCUUAGAGAUUACAUGGAAUACCAAUUGCGAAGGCAGGUUGCUACCAAUGGAUUGACGCUGAUGGACGAAAGCGUGGGUAGCGAACAGGAUUAGAUACCCUGGUAGUCCACGCCGUAAACGAUGGAUACUAGCUGUUGGGCGCAAGUUCAGUGGCUAAGCGAAAGUGAUAAGUAUCCCACCUGGGGAGUACGAACGCAAGUUUG
rnacentral:rRNA from 1 species